GCUCUGUUGCUGUCGCUGCUAAGUUAAGGAGAAGCCACCUGUUCAAAAGAAAAGGUGGGAGAAGCAAAUGAUCGCAAAACAAUAGAGCCUAUCAUAUUGGAAUGAAAAAGGGAUUCAUUUCUGUAUCAUAUACCCAAGCAGUUAUGCUCAGAGAUCAAGGAUCGAAUUGAAAACUCAGCUCCAGUAGCCUGUCCAGACAAGAGAUUUAACCUUGGUGGUUCUUACAAUUUUGACAGCUGCGAUGGGACAGUUUGCAUUUCCCACGUUCUGACUCGAGGCCUAAAGUGAGGGCUGAGUAAAGCAUUGCAGUAAUGCAAAGUGAGAAGAAACUCCUAUUGUAAAGAACUUCCUAAAGUUUCUCUUCAUGUGCUCUGGAGAAUUUUCCAGAUGUUAAUAGGAAAACCA
rnacentral:lncRNA from 1 species